AAAGCACUUUCAUAGGUCCUCCCCUAGGCUUUAGGGACAGGAUUUUGUGCUGAUAGGAAAUUCUUAAGAGUGUUGUUGUCCUGGGUUUGUGCCAGUAGCAGCUGUCAAUCUGUUGGGAUACACAU
rnacentral:snoRNA from 1 species